rnacentral:sRNA from 1 species
GCCAGGCGUGAUGGUGCACACCUGUAAUCCCAGCAAUUUGGGAGGCUGAGGCAGGAGAAUCAUAAAUUCAAGGCCAGCCUGGGUAACUCAAUGAAGUGCUAAGCAACUUAGUGAGACCCUGUCUCAA